GAUGAACGCUGGCGGCGUGCUUAACACAUGCAAGUCGAACGGUGAACACGGAGCUUGCUCUGUGGGAUCAGUGGCGAACGGGUGAGUAACACGUGAGCAACCUGCCCCUGACUCUGGGAUAAGCGCUGGAAACGGCGUCUAAUACUGGAUAUGUGACGUGACCGCAUGGUCUGCGUUUGGAAAGAUUGUUCGGUUGGGGAUGGGCUCGCGGCCUAUCAGCUUGUUGGUGAGGUAAUGGCUCACCAAGGCGUCGACGGGUAGCCGGCCUGAGAGGGUGACCGGCCACACUGGGACUGAGACACGGCCCAGACUCCUACGGGAGGCAGCAGUGGGGAAUAGUGCACAAUGGGCGCAAGCCUUAUGCAGCAACUCCGCGUGAGGGAUGACGGCCUUCGGGUUGUAACCCUCUUUUAGCAGGGAAGAAGCGAAAGUGACGGUACCUUCAGAAAAAGCGCCGGCUAACUACGUG
rnacentral:rRNA from 1 species